rnacentral:tRNA from 1 species
GCCCGGGCCGCUCAGUCGGUAGAGCGUUAGGCUUUUAACCUAACGGUCCAGGGUGCGAGCCCCUGCUCGGGCG